UCUCUGCCCCCUGCCCAGCAGAGGGGCUGGGGCUGCCCUGGGCAUGAGCCAUACUCGAGUUACAGGGUAAUUUGUUUGUUCCUAACCUCCCCGCCCGGGACAGGGGUCUGCAGCAAGGGGUGGGGGGGCACAUCCCUGGCAGCCGGCCCCCUCCCCUCCCACCCACAGGUGCCUGAAUGAGCUGGAAACUGGUUUAGGGUGGGCCUGAGGGGCAGGGGGAGCCCCCCCAUCCUCUUCCCACGCCUCUGCCGGGAGGCCGAGGCUGCUCGACGGUUAGACACCCCCACGCCCCUCACCGUGUUGCACACGACGUUUCGGUUUGGCAAGUGUAUUGGAACAAGCAUUAAAGAGAUACUAGCUCUG